CUCCUGGAAACGGGUGGUAAUACCGGAUGCUCCGCCCCACCGCAUGGUGGGGUGGGAAAUGCUUUUUGCGGCAUGGGAUGGGGUCGCGUCCUAUCAGCUUGUUGGCGGGGUGAUGGCCCACCAAGGCGUUGACGGGUAGCCGGCCUGAGAGGGUGACCGGCCACAUUGGGACUGAGAUACGGCCCAGACUCCUACGGGAGGCAGCAGUGGGGAAUAUUGCACAAUGGGCGCAAGCCUGAUGCAGCGACGCCGCGUGCGGGAUGGAGGCCUUCGGGUUGUAAACCGCUUUUGUUCAAGGGCAAGGCACGGCUUCGGGCCGUGUUGAGUGGAUUGUUCGAAUAAGCACCGGCUAACUACGUGCCAGCAGCCGCGGUAAUACGUAGGGUGCGAGCGUUAUCCGGAUUUAUUGGGCGUAAAGGGCUCGUAGGCGGUUCGUCGCGUCCGGUGUGAAAGUCCAUCGCCUAACGGUGGAUCUGCGCCGGGUACGGGCGGGCUGGAGUGCGGUAGGGGAG
rnacentral:rRNA from 1 species